rnacentral:misc_RNA from 1 species
CUGAAAUCUGUCCAAAAUAAUGAAGGUCAGACUAUUACUGGCGCAAGAUGAUCAGCUGCCCAUCAGCUGUGAGCUAAGUGGCAUUAUCCCACCAGCUGAAGGAACAGUACUGCUGCAACGUGGUAAUUGUAAAUAUAAAGGGCUAAGAAUCCAGAUGGAUGAAGUGAUUUUAACAGUCUCCUGCUUAACUGCGAUUGUAAUCUU